GAUGCAACAGCAUUCAACAUUAUCACAUUCUCACACACACAUACAAAGCCUUAACUCAAAGAACAACCACAACAAGUGACUUGGAAAAAAAAUGUAAACACCGAAACAAUCACAAGCAUACAGAACAUGUGAAUAUUAUUAUAGCAAACAUAAUAAUAAAAUAGCUCUUCUAAUGCGUCUCCGAAAAUAUCCCAAAUCAAGAAAACUACAUAAUCUGAUCCACUUGAUUCAGAAAGCUACAUAUAUUGGAAAAAUUAAGAAUCAACUAAAAGAAAAAGAAAAGGAAGGCCUGGUUGAUUCGAUUCAAUUGCCUGAGAUGAAGAAUCAAACAGGGCUGAGAAGCUGAGAGUUUAAAUGUUAAACCUCAAUAUUCAAAUAACAUGACUCCAUUAUUGUUAUUAUUACACCCUUCUAAUGUCACAAACUCAAUAUUAUAGUCCAUUGACACUUGUGUAUUCACAACUUGGCCUCAUCAUUCUGAUUCAUACCUUAAGUAGAAGAAAAAGUCCCAAUCAGCUUUCGUUACAAUUUUAUCCAGAGCGAUGAAUCCGUGAAUCAGUAACAUAAAUUUUAACAAAGUUCAUCACAAUGAUUAACAACAACAAAAAGCACUGAGGGAACACUCAGUGAUAUAGGCAGUGCAAAUUUUAACAAAGCUCAUCACAAUGAUUAACAACAACAAAAAUCACUAAAGAACAGUGAAUCAGUAACAUGGGCAGUGCAAAUUUAAAAUUUAAAAGUUCAAUUUAAAAUUUAUCAUCAAAUACAAUCAGUGAGCAAAGCCAAUCAAUCAAGCACUGACUGAGCAUUCUGUUCUGAUUCUGUGACUGGGAAGCAACAAAUUCAGCAACAAAUUCAAGUUACAGCAACAAAUUUAACAAAUCCUAGUAAAGUCCCGAUUUACAGCAAAAAGGCAAAUUUAUUGAUUACCAAUUCAGCAACAUGCAGAAAUCCAGGGAGAAGGGAAAUCUUGAAAAGAGAGAACACUAAACCAAAACAUUAACCAAUAAUCACAAAACACUAAACCUUCACCCAGCAAUUACAAACAUUAGAAGAUUAUAAAACAUUCCAAAACACUAAACCUUCACCCAGCAAAACCAGCAACUACAAACAAAGCCAUCAGUAAAUUUGAACAAAAAAAUUAAGAGCCAUCAGCAACUAACAGAGCCAUCGAGCCAUCAGUAACAGAGAGCAAAGAAUUGAAAGCAACAGACUAACAGAGCCAUCGAGCCAUCAGUAAAUUUGAAAAAAAAAAUUUACAGCCAUCAGCAACCAGCAAAUACAAGACAGAUCCAUCAGCAGCAGACAAUUACAAUUUACAAAACAUUACAAGAAAAAUGGAACAAAAAUUGAACAACAAUUUCAGAACUUCAAACGAAGAAGAAGAC